GGGAAGAGCAGAAAUACGUCAAGCUGUCUGAGCUGACAUUCAAUGCUUUCUUGAAAGAAGUGUGUCUAAAAUUCAACAUACCAGAAAGCAGAAAGCCAGACAUUAAGGUGUAUGACCAGUCUGACACAGAAGUUGACUCAGAUGUUUUUGAAGAAUUAGUAAAGGAGUCACCUGGAACUUUCAGAAUCAUGCUGGGCAAUGGACUUGAUACCUCUCAUUCAUCAUCAUGCUCGG